UGUGAGGCCUCCCCUCAGCCUCCUUCUCUCCAGGCUGAACAGGCCAAUGGCCUCAGUCACACCUCACACAGCUUCCCCUCAGGUCUCUUCACCAUCUUCGUAGCCCUCCUUUGGAUUCUCUCUAAUAGCUAAAUGUAUUUUGUGUAUUGUGGCACCCGAAACUGCCCCAGCACUGGAGGAAAGAUGACAAACCUAUGAAAUCUGAAGAAAAACACUUGAGAAGUGGUAUCUUCUGGGAUCUUCAGUCCCACACAUAGAGAAGAAAAUUGAAAAUUCCACUGAACAUAGAAGUUUAUGUCACCUGAACACUUAACACAAGCAACAGAGAAAGUGACUGAAGACAGCAGACAAGGGAGGAGCUCCACAUCUCCAAGAUGCCACUUGGGAGAACAUCUCUCCUUCUACUGACUACCCAGAAGAUCUGUGGAGAUUAUUAGAUUGCUGAAAUACACAGUUUAAUUACUUUGCACAAAUCAGAUGCUGUGAUUUCUCUACUAAUCAUCAACUGCCUGCAGAAAUUGCUCCUAAACCCACUAUUUACCUAAGUACACAUGCUACUUUGGAGCUAUUUUGCUUUGAGGUAACCAUGCAGACUUUUGAAGACACGUUUUCUAAAGCAAGCUCUAUGUGCUGGCUCUAAAGCUCACUUUUAAAAGCUGCAGUCAAUUUUAUCGGUUGAAUUACUUUGAAGACCAAUUUUUAUGAAGGAUUCUUUCAAACUCAGGCUGUUAAUUUAUUACGUGCUGAUCAGUAAUAUGAAAGAACUCUGUGUUUUGGAAGUUCAGUAGUUCUUAAUUAUGAACAGGCUUUGAAGCACCCAGCCAUGCAUGAGAGACUUCCUGAUGCCUCCUUGUCUCUUCCUGCAGCCUGGGCUCUUCCCUCCAAUGCUCAUAUUGCCUGGAAGGGUUUGCCUUUAUCUUGGAGAUUUUCUGAAUCAUCUAACUACUGAAAAAUUCAGAGUACAGAAUGUGACAGAUUCACAGUGCGAUUUAAUAUGACACAUCAUAUCCUGUGCAAUAAUACAAAAUCAGGGAAGGUUAAUCAAUAUUUAUGUCAGAGCUAGAGGACUCCAUGUUGUGUGUCUUUGUCCUACCUUCAGCAUAGAAAUUAACAAUUAUCCAUUAGAGAUACAGAGCCACUUUCUGAUCCUGCAGUAUUUGACUAAAAAGCCUGAGAGCAUGUCAGUGAUGCCUGAUGCAUUAGCAACAAACGUGGCUACAGGCUGUGGGGGAAUUCUCUCAGAAAUAUAUAUCUGAACAAUCCCAGGUUAUAAAUCACUGAGCAGCAAACUUCUUCCAUUGAAACUAUCAGUUAAUGGGGAUCCUGCAAAGACAGAACAAACUGGUCUAGGCAUCUUGGUUCAACUGAAAAUCAAUUAGAUUUUAAAUGACACUAAACCACAGUCUCACAAAGUGCAACACUUUUGUUUUCUAACUUGCAGUCUGGUGUUGACGAAGCCCUGGAUUCAUUAAUUAUAUUCUAUGCAUCCAGUAUAAGGUGGUUAUCUAAGCUUCAUGUGUAAUUAGCAGAGAAAGAAACAAAGCCCAAAAACCAAUAUCCCUCUGAAAAAUCUCUUUGUUUGCAGUGGCUAUAGAGGUUGCUUUUAUGAAGUGCACUACUUCUGGACACCACAGAUGAGCAACCUUCUCUCUUCUUGCCCUUUUUUCUAGGUAUGUCAGGAAAAUCAAAAUUCAUACAAAUCACCUAUAAUGGAAUGGUAUGUUUCAAAGAAAAUAAUUUGGCCAAUGAAAGUAAAUUUCUGAAAUGAGAUGUGAUGUCAGGAUCCCACCUAAACCAGGAACUCUUAGAGGAGGACAAUGGGGUCAGAAGUUUUCUUUUUGUCUACCAUAUUGCUUUCCUCCUGCUACUUUUCAGCGUGUGAGAACUGUUAGUCCUGCACCAAAGGACUUGGAUCCUACAUCUGAGCAUUUCCAUCUCCUAAUUGUUUUCUGACUUAUAAAGACUGUAAUAAAUGUGAGGGAUUCAAACAUGACAGAGAUGAAUGCUGUGUCACAAUUUGGCUAGAUACAUAUUAUAGUAACUAUGAAAAUAUUCCCUCUGGACAAACUCAUGCACUUCUAUGAGUUUUUCCUUUCUUUGCUUGUCUUCCCUGCACCUCUACCUCUAAGCAGUCAAAAAGGAAAAGACUGAGGAAUAAAUCUUUUCCUCACAUAUUAUAUUUCUUUUUAAAAAUAUUUUCCAAAACAAUUGCAUGAAUUAUUCAUUACUUCUCUUUCUUUGUUCCUAUUAAUAUCAGCUUCCAGAGUUCUGUUUAAGAUUUUUUUUAUCCAGUCCUUUUGGUGCUUUGCUCAUUUCCAUUGAUGGGGGUGUUAUUUAUUUUGCAAAUUGAAAUGCCUGCAACUAAACUAUUAAUCCUAGGAAGACUUUGAUGAAAUUAUUUCAUUUCUCAGAAUAGUGGAAAUGCAAAAAAAAAAAAAAAUCUUUCACCUCUCCGAAGAAGGUUGCAAUGCUUAAUGAUUUUCAACAUGCAUUAGAGAGC